rfam:Schistosoma curassoni strain Dakar, Senegal genome assembly, scaffold: SCTD_contig0008361
AUCUAACUGACGAGUCCCAAAUAGGAUGAAACGCGUGUCCUCGAU